rnacentral:rRNA from 1 species
UACGAAGGGGGCUAGCGUUGCUCGGAAUCACUGGGCGUAAAGCGCACGUAGGCGGAUUUCUAAGUCAGGGGUGAAAUCCUGGAGCUCAACUCCAGAACUGCCUUUGAUACUGGGAAUCUCGAGUCCGGGAGAGGUGAGUGGAACUGCGAGUGUAGAGGUGAAAUUCGUAGAUAUUCGGAAGAACACCAGCGGCGAAGGCGGCUCACUGGCCCGAUACUGACGCUGAGGCACGAAAGCGUGGGGAGCAAACAGG